AUGGCGGAUCUCGAGAGGAGGCUGCAAUUUGCCAUGGUGACUUAUGCAGCGGGUGCCCAUCACGACAUCACCCCGGGGUUCGUGUUCGGGGCGCUCGGGGCGAUCGUCGGCAUCGAGCGGGAAUGGAUUUCUGUUCACAGCUAUCGCCCGGAGGACUUCCUCAUCAUUUUCGGCCGCCAGGAGCACCGUAACAGGGUCGCGAAGAGGCCGUUCGUCGAGCACCGUGGAGUCCGGCUCUACUUCAGGCAAUGGAACCGGCAAGCCCAGGCCGUGCACGCCGUGUUCGAGUUCAAAGUCUCGCUAGUGCUGGAGGGCAUUCCGGCGCAUGCAUGGGAGCGUGGAAUCGCGGAGGACCUCCUGGGCUCGUCAUGCUUGGUUGACAUGGUGGCACCGGAGACGAGCUCGCGACAGGACCUCUCUGCGUUCAGGAUCACAACUUGGACGGCGGAGCCGGUGGCCAUUCCUUUGCUCAGGUGGCUUGCGGUUCCGGAGCUGGGGCAGGCUGCGCCAUUGAUGGAGCCAUCCCUUUUGCAGUACAAGAUCCUGAUUCACCUUGACUCUGUCUCAGAUUUCUCUAAUCGUGAUGAGCCUCUGUUCUUGGGGGUCUUGUACGACAGCGGGCAGAGCGGCGUCCCCUCCGACGGUCGCAUCAGUGGAGACGGGUGGAGCAGAUCUGGCCCGAGGCGGGUGCACUGGCAAUUCGGAGUUCGUGACGUGCGUGGCCAGAGGGCCGGGCAGGGCGCCGGCGACUCGAUGGCCAUCUCGGGCCCCGGCGGCGGUUCGUGCCUGCCGGCCAUGGAGGAGAGGACUGCGGCCGCGCCAAGGGGGGGCCAUGGUUCUAGUCUCGGCAAGCUGUUGAUGACCCACAAAUAUAGGGAAUCAAUUGUAGUCCUUUCGAUAAGUAAGAGUGUUGAACCAACGAGGAGCAGAAGGAAAUGA
rnacentral:rRNA from 1 species